rnacentral:sRNA from 1 species
AGCAGCCGCGGUAAUUCCAGCUCCAAUAGCGUAUAUUAAAGUUGUUGCAGUUAAAAAGCUCGUAGUUGAAUUUCGGGAUUGACACAUCGGUCGUGCCUUAAGGGGUAUGAACUGGUGUAGUCAAUUUCUCACCUUCUGGAGAACCGCGAUGCCCUUAAUUGGGUGUCACGGGGAACCAGGACCUUUACUUUGAAAAAAUUAGAGUGUUUAAAGCAGGCAUUUUGCUUGAAUACAUUAGCAUGGAAUAAUAAAAUAGGACGGCAUGAUUCUAUUUUGUUGGUUUCUAGGAUCACCGUAAUGAUUAAUAGGGAUAGUUGGGGGCAUUAGUAUUCAAUUGUCAGAGGUGAAAUUCUUGGAUUUAU